rnacentral:lncRNA from 1 species
GCGGCCGCCUUGGCAGAGUUCCAGUAACUGAACAAGUGCUCCUGUACCGUGUCCAGCAGAGCUGAGCUGCCCGGAUCAUCUUCCUCGGUCCCCUGGACCUCUGUGGGAAGCACCAGAGUUAGACUGGAGGUGCUGAGGGGACUUUGGAUGAGUGGAAGCAGUUCCACCCACUUACCGUUUCCCAACACUAGGAGAGCCAGGAAUAGAGCCAGGAAGAAACGAGACCCCAUGCUGUCUGGGACCUGGAGCAUUGAG